CCACAUAACUGGCAGGGGAGAUCCGUAAUCCCAAAGACCAUUGUCCCAGGACAAGGGUAUCCCACUGCACUUCGGGUGUGCUGGUGCCUGCAAUGUCCCCAAACACAGGAUAAUCGACUGCAAAAUUUGUGAUAGCGGAGGAUUGCGUUCACACUCUCCCCUG